UUGAAGUGACCAAUUCAUUCUACACAAAGCCAGAUGAUUUUGUGGCUGAUUUCAGACUGAUUUUCCAAAACUGUGCUGAAUUUAAUGAGCCUGACUCAGAAGUGGCUGAUGCCGGCAUGAAACUCGAAGCCUACUUUGAAGAUCUUCUAAGGAACCUUUAUCCUGAGAGAAAGUUCCCUGUACAGCCAAGCAGCCAGAGUGAAAAAGAGAAUCCAGAACUUACUGAUGACUCAGAUGAUGACUUUGUACAGCCCCGGAAAAAACGCCUCAAAGGAGAAGACCGUCAGUUGCUUAAAUGAGCCCCAUGUGUUACGACAGGAAGUUUUUUUAAAACUGAGAAUAUUUAUCACUGUUCUCACUGUUUUGACUUGUAGGUUUGUGAAUAUUUACUAGACUUUCUACCCCAUCUGAAACACAAAUCUAAUGGAGAUCAAGGCAUGUGAAGAGCUUCUCUGAAGUUCAAACCUUUCAUCUCUUUUCUGGAGCAGCUCAGAAAUUGCCAUUUGUGUGGGGUGACAACUGUUUAACUUUGCUUUGAAGAAGAAGUUUGUAUAGAAUUGAACCUCAAAACAUGACAUGGGUUCAACAUGUGGCUGAGGUUGAAGAAAAUGUGAUCUCACCAGAUUUUUAAUUUUACCAAAGGCAUGUGGCUGGCCAUAAUUUGAUCUCUCUGUACUGUAUUCAACACAAACCAUGAAAAAAGAUGGUAUAAUGUUACUGUCCUGCAAUACUGAUUGGUAUAAUGAAAGUGUAGUUGCUCCCAAAGAAGUUAUUGGGAAUUUUAAAAUGUAAGGCAGAGGGUAUUAAAAAUAACUUUAAAAAAAAGGAAGAAGAGGAAUUUGUUUGAGAGUUUCUAAUGGAGUAAGUGAAGGACAGAAUACUUUGGUUUGCACCAUUUUUCUUACCACCAGCAGGAAACAAUGGUAUUUCUGUACUAUUUUGUUUAACAGGUGUCUCAAGUGUGAUGAUCGGAAAAUCUUGAGUGGAAAAAUGUUUGUUUGCAAAACCAGUCAUUUUUGUGUAUUUUUAAAGAGGGGAGAAAAAGCAUCCUUUCUGUCCACAAUCCCUUGUUCUUUUUCCGUAUUUCUAAAUCUGUCAUUGUCAGAAUGCAACCAGCAUUCACCUGGGAGUACACAAGUUUGAAGAGAAAGAAGGCUCUUCAGCCCUUCAUUGAUCCUGGUUAAGAUCACCACAAAAUGAGGAUGAAGUACCUUAUUUUGUUUGGUCUACUUUCCAGAAGCUCUGACAACAACAUUAGGAUUGCUUCUGCCCUCAGAGGCUGCAGAGUUAGAGCAGUACUUGUCUGUGGUUGCCCUAGCUAUUGUUUUUUAGUCUUCAUUUAUGUCAUCUUAAAUGAAAACUCAGUGUUUGGGAGAGCAGACAGCCAUUUGGAUUAAUUGAGCUCUGACUGUGCCAGAAUUCUGCAGUUUGACUUGUGAAGACACUUGAGCGUACCCAAGCCUGCUUCUGCCUGGCUCUGUAGCCCUGGUGUGGUGCAUAGAGCAUGGAAGAGACUGGAUCCAAGUGCUGCUUGUGCCUCUCUGCUGCGUGCGUGUGGAAUGAGAAAAAGGCCUGGCUUUGCCUCUCACCCGAUGAGAUCGUGCCUGUCUUUGUCGUAGGGUGGCACUGCACACUAAAACAGAGUGGCCACUCCACAGGGGCCACAGGCCACCGGCGAACAGCCGCAGCACGCCAGCCCGGCGCCCCCGAGCUGCAACGUACUUGCUGGGAGCCUCGAAAUCCUCCUGCCUGCCAAAAGCCUGGCCCCAGCACGGUCUGCAGCCAAACCUCGGCGCUGAACAUCACCUCGCACACCUGCCGGGGUGCGUUGGUUCAGCGCAACCUGGUUUUAUUCGUGGGGGCGGGGGAAGCCACGCGGCGGCUUCUGAGAGAAGCUGCUCGAAGCCUCUGCUAUGUCCAGCAGGGCCAAUCUCUGACAGCUCUGAAGAUAGACGUGCUGCUGGCCCAAUUAGAGAAGUUGGUAGUGCCUCUGUGAUGACUUAUUUAAGGCAGGGAAAAAAACUGCGCUCAGUUCUUCCGAGGCGCGGGGAGGUGCUGCGGCCGGGGUUAUCCCGGCGCCGCAAGAGGCCCUGUGGGCAGCGCGGCCCAUGUAGCCGCCACCGUCUUAGCAUGGCUUAGUGGCUUUUAGCCAGCUGUACUGCGAGCAGAAGGGCAGAGGCAGGGGCUUGUUCUUUGCAGCAUUCUGCAUAAAGAGAGGUGCUGAAUGGUGCCAGGGCUGCGGCAGCUGACACCGCCUGCUGCAUGGUGGCGGCGGGGCUGGUGGCGCAAGCAUGGCGAGCAAUUCCCCGACACGGAAUCCAGACAAGAGCACAUUCUCAGCGCUGCAAACUCCUACAAGUCUUUGAACUGGUGGAACUUGGUGACAAUGCUACUUACGAGCAGGAAUUUUUUCUUCCAAGUCAGAGAAAAGGAAAGGUGGAGACACGUGAGGAGAACCGAGAUGGUGGCACUGAAGUCAGUAAAGAAAGAGGGAGAGGAAGUGCUGCAAGCGCCGGAGCCGAAAUUUUCUUCGGCGAGCUGUCGUAAAAGACUAUGGCUGCCUUUGGCCAUUCCCUUCAGACGCAUUGUACAGGGUUGGGAGAGGCCAGGAAGAAUGAGGCUUGAACAGUGAGCAGGCUUGUGUCCACGGAGUUGUUUUAUACUUCUUCUCUGUGUAACGAAAGUGUCUUGGGGUGACUUUAUGAUGUGUAUCCCCUAUCACUGCUCUAUGCCCACAAAUU